rnacentral:rRNA from 1 species
AUUGAACGCUGGCGGCAUGCCUUACACAUGCAAGUCGAACGGCAGCACGGGGCAACCUGGUGGCGAGUGGCGAACGGGUGAGUAAUGCAUCGGAACGUACCUUUCAGUGGGGGAUAACGUAGCGAAAGUUACGCUAAUACCGCAUAUUCUGUGAGCAGGAAUGCAGGGGAUCGCAAGACCUUGCGCUGAUUGAGCGGCCGAUGUCAGAUUAGCUAGUUGGUGAGGUAAAGGCUCACCAAGGCGACGAUCUGUAGCGGGUCUGAGAGGAUGAUCCGCCACACUGGAACUGAGACACGGUCCAGACUCCUACGGGAGGCAGCAGUGGGGAAUUUUGGACAAUGGGGCAACCCUGAUCCAGCCAUGCCGCGUGAGUGAAGAAGGCCUUCGGGUUGUAAAGCUCUUUCGGCCGGGAAGAAAUCGCACGGGCUAAUACCCUGUGUGGAUGACGGUACCGGAAUAAGAAGCACCGGCUAACUACGUGCCAGCCGCCGCAGUAACAC